rnacentral:rRNA from 1 species
AUGCUGAGCCCGUGCGACCGCUUCCUCCACCGUGCUCCCGCGCCGCCGCCGCCGCCGCUCAAUCCGCAGUCGGGCCUCGCGGCCUCGAUGCCCGGCGCCAGCCGCAGGGACAAGGGCCUCGCGCUCCAGAGCAACGCGGUCUCAGCGCCGCCGGCGAGAACCGCCGAGGCUUGCCCCAAUGCGGCGGUGGUGGUUCCACCCACCGUCGCCGGCACCACCGGACAGAGUGCUGCCGCGCAAAGGGGGAAGGGCAAGGGCAGGUUGUCCGGCUACGGCGGGUCCAUCCCGGCAAUGCUGUACGCGCUGGAGCGCGCCCGGGACGUCGGGGAGGCGCUGUGGCCGUGGAGGGACACCCUGAGCAGCCGGGAGAGGACCAUCAUCCUCAAGGAGCAGAAGGACUGGCGGCGGGCCAUCGAGAUCUUCGACUGGUUCCGCGGGCAGAGGCGCCACGAGGUCAAUGUGAUCCACUACAAUGUCGUGCUCUGCGCGGUCGGGCGCGCCAGGAGAUGGGACCUCGUCGCCGGCCUGUGGCACCAGAUGCAUUCCUGCGGCGUGGCGCCGGAUAACACGACGUACGGUACGCUCAUCGAUGUGUACUGCAAAGGGGGCAGAGAGACGGCGGCGUUGCUGUGGCUCGGGGACAUGUGCAAGCGCGGCUUGGUGCCUGACGAGGUCACCAUGAGCACUGUCCUUCAUGCCCAUAAGAAGGCUGGAGAGUAUGAGAAGGCAGAGCUGUUCUUUCAAAGAUGGUCUUCUGAAUCAGAUACAGGGUUGGAUGGGCAUCUUUGCUAUAGCUUGUACACCUACAACACCUUGAUUGAUACUUAUGGAAAGGCUGGGCAGCUUGAGAAAGUGUCAGACAUGUUCAACCAAAUGUUGAGGGAAGGUGUCGCGCCGAGCAUUAUUACAUUCAACACACUGAUUCAUGUCUGGGGUAAACACCAUAGGAUGGAGCAGGUGGCUUCUUUGGUGAGGAUGAUGGAGGAGUUUCAGUGCCCUCCUGACACCAGGACUUACAACACACUCAUCUCACUAUACAGAGAAAGUAAUGAAAUUGAUGUUGCAGAGCACUACUUCUGUAAGAUGAAAGCCGAAAAAUUGGUGCCGGAUGUUGUGAGCUGCCGCACGCUAUUGUAUGGGUACUGUACCAGGGGAAUGGUCAGUAAAGCAGAAGCCCUUGUCAAAGAAAUGGACGAGAGUGGCCUGGUGAUCGAUGAAUACACACAGUCAGCUCUAACCAGGAUGUAUGUUAAUGCUGGGAUGCUUGAGCAGUCGUGGUGUUGGUUUGAGAGGUUCUGUAAUCAGAUGGACUCCGAGUGCUUUUCUGCAAACAUUGAUGCAUUUGGGAAGAAAGGGUACAUAAACCUCGCAGAAAAGGCUUUUAUAUGUUGCCUGGAGAGGAAGAUGCUUAGCGUUUCUGUGUGCAAUGUUAUGAUCAAAGCAUAUGGGUUAGCAGAGAAGCUUGAUGAGGCCUGUGAGAUAGCUGCUGGCAUGUUGAGGUACGGCGUACUACCUGAUUACUUGACUUACAGUUCUCUCAUUCAACUCCUGUCAACUGCUAAACUGCCAGAGAAAGCUCUCUACUACUUGAGAAAGAUGCAAGCAGCUAAAAUGCCGAUUGACUGUGUUCCAUAUUCUGUGGUGAUUGACAGCUUUACUAAGCAUGGGAAUUUGCACAUGGUUGAAUGCCUAUUUAGAGAAAUGGUCACUUUGGGGGUCCACGCGGAUGCAUAUGUUUACUCUAUCUUAAUUGAUACAUAUGCUGAAGCUGGAAAUGUCCAGCAAGCUGCAGCAUAUUUUGGUUUAGUGACAAAGGCUGGUUUAUGUGAGAGUGCUUCGAUCUAUAAUUCUUUGAUCAAACUCUACACGAAAGCAGGGUAUCUGGCAGAGGCCCAAAAGACAUACAAGCUUCUGAAAUCUUUAGAUACUGACACCAACCUUUAUGCAUCCAACUGCAUGAUUGGCCUCUACAGUGACCAUUGUAUGGUGAACGAAGCACGUGAGCUUUUUGAGAAUUUGAAGAUUACGGGAAGUGCAAAUGAAUUUUCAUAUGCGAUGAUGGUGUGCUUGUACAAGAAAGUUGCUCGCUAUGAUGAAGCUCACAGGAUCUCCAAGGAAAUGCAAGCUUUAGGGCUUCUAACUCAAGCAUUAAGUUAUAAUUCUGUGAUUCAGAUGUACGUAUCUGGUGGGAAAAUGGAGGAGGCUGUGAAAAUAUUUCAGAAGAUGAUGGCAUCGAGCACACCACCAAAUGAUGUAACUUUCAAGGCACUAAAACCAAUUCUAGUGAAAGAAGGAGUUUCAAAUGGUGAGAUUGCAAAAUUAGAGUCUCUCAGAAGGUGUAACGCUCAAGAUUGCUUGAAUCAGUGGUACAGGGCACUAGCUCUGGUUGUAAGAUCAGAUGGGAUUACCUCUCGACAUACUAUGGGUCACUCUUGUACAAGGAUACAUUCUUUUUACAUUGACAGUUUCUAG